CAGUCGUACCGGCGGGUAAUCAGCCUUUUGAGUGUGAUUAUGUGGAGCGUGAGGAGUUAAACACCUUCAUGCCUUCAUAUUCGUGCGCUUUGGGUGUACUUGCUCGUGGUGGUAGGUUAACAUCAAUUUCGAUCAUCAUAAAAUGGUUGGAGGAAUGUAGCUUCGAUCUCGUAUUGAAGUGUUAUAGCCUUUAGCAGAUGUGAUGAUUGGGAUUGAGGAUUGCAACGGAUACCCUUCGGGGCUACCCGUCUGAUCUCUGAAAGUUACUCUGGUGCCGAAAGCUUGCUUACGGUAUCAAAGUUGACGUUCAACAGGUUAGAACGGGUUAAA
rnacentral:rRNA from 1 species